rnacentral:rRNA from 1 species
UACGAAGGGGGCUAGCGUUGCUCGGAAUUACUGGGCGUAAAGCGCACGUAGGCGGUCUUUUAAGUCGGGGGUGAAAUCCUGGAGCUCAACUCCAGAACUGCCUUAGAUACUGGAAGACUUGAGUCCGGGAGAGGUGAGUGGAACUGCGAGUGCAGAGGUGAAAUUCGUAGAUAUUCGCAAGAACACCAGUGGCGAAGGCGGCUCACUGGCCCGGUACUGACGCUGAGGUGCGAAAGCGUGGGGAGCAAACAGG